UACAGAGGGGGCAAGCGUUGUUCGGAAUUACUGGGCGUAAAGGGCGCGUAGGCGGCCCGCUAAGUCGAACGUUGAAAUCCCCCGAGCUCAACUCGGGAACUGCGUCCGAUACUGGUGGGCUUGAAUCCGGGAGAGGGAUGCGGAAUUCCAGGUGUAGCGGUGAAAUGCGUAGAUAUCUGGAGGAACACCGGUGGCGAAGGCGGCAUCCUGGACCGGCAUUGACGCUGAGGCGCGAAAGCUAGGGGAGCAAACGGGG
rnacentral:rRNA from 1 species